rnacentral:misc_RNA from 1 species
CGUUCUCCUGCCCGACAUGACGGCACUCAAGUACACGGACUCUCACAAAUGGAUAAAAGGAAACUGCUCGUUCCCUAUUGCCGACAUACAGGAAGUAAGAACCGGAUGGAACACCGCCAUCUUUGACUCCGUCGCAAAAUCCAGCAGCAACGCACUCGACGAGCGUCAGUGCUUCUCAUUGGUCAUGGGCAACAAUUACGUGACGCUCGAUCUGGCAGCUGAUUCGCCAGAGACGCGCGACCGGUGGGUGGCGGCGCUGCAAACGCUCGUGAAACGUCACACGUCGGCUAGCCUGAAGAAGCAACAUUAUCUCUACCUGAAGGAACAUUUCAUAAAAGCUGAUUCGGAUAAAAAUAAAAGAUUAGGUUUCGACGAGAUUCAAUCGCUAUUGAAGCAAAUGAACAUCAGUAUAGAUAAGAAAAAUGCAAAGAGGAUGUUUGAGAGGGCCGACAAAAACCGAAAUGGAAACCUGGACGUGGUUGAGUUUGUUGACUUCUACGAGCGGCUGUUAGUAAGACCCGACAUCGACCAAAUCAUUACCAGCUUCACUGCUGCCGAUGACGCGAAUUUCCUUGAUGCAGUAGAUCUGCAACGAUUCCUCCAGCAAUCACAGAAGGUCGAGUUCUCGUUGGACGACUGUAGGAUGUUGAUAAACAACCACGAGGUCCAGCCGACGUUCAAGAAGGAAGGCUUUCUCAGCAGUGACGGGCUGAGUCGCUACUGCUGAAGGAAUAUCCGGUGGAUCAGCAAACACAUGCGGCGAAAUCUACCAAAGAACAUGAGCCAGCCACUCCAGCGAAUACUAUAUAGCACUUUCCCACCAACACGUACUUGAUGGAAGACCAGUUGCGUGGUCCCAGCAGCUGUGAGGCUUACAUCCGGGCAUUCAAGCUUGGAUGCCGCUGUGUGGAACUCGACUGUUGGAACGGACCGGAUGGAGAACCGAUCAUCUACCACGGAUACACGCUCACCUCCAAGAUCCUCUUCAAGGA